CGGUUAGCUCAGUGGUGAGAGCGCCUGCCUUACAAGCAGGAGGUCGGAGGUUCGAAUCCUCCAUCGC
rnacentral:tRNA from 1 species